ACCUUGUACUUGUGGAGCUAUAUCCACAACCUCUCCUCGCCUUCCUUCUCUCUGUACUGGGGAUUGAACUCAGGACCUUGUGCUUAUGAGAUGGAAGUUCCUCCUUGGGAUGGAGACAGAUCAUCUGCCUUCUCCCAUAUGGCUUAGGAAGGUUGAAGAAAGAGAACUGAGAUAAGAAAAGCCAGCCUCGUCUGCAAAAAGCCUACUCUGGCAGGAGAUCAAGGGUGGACCCAACGCUCUCCAGCUAAUGAUAAAAUUCCACAGUGACUCGUUCCCAGCAUCACCCAGGAGGAACCCAGAAUUAGCAACCUGGCUCUGGCAGCUGCAGCGCAUGCCCCCACACAGGCUGUGCACCUUGGCUGCUUGGCACAGUCCUCUGGGAGUCGUCUCCGCACCCGCAGGGACAACCCUGCCCCUUGCCCCAGUGACGGUGCUGUGGUUUGCUUAUUUGGACAUAUUCAGCCCAACAUGCCAAAGAUGAAAGGCAGGAAAUGUGCAGUUCCAGUUCCCAGAGCGGGAGUGGCCAGACCACACUGCAUGACGCUUCCAGCCGAGGUCAUGUAGGCAACCUCAGGCCCUGGGCUAGCAGAGCACAGGCAGGCGCUUCCCACCCCCGGAUGGCUUCCUGUCCCUUGCCAGGGACUGACCACAGCUGCUCCCAUCACUGCCCUUGGGGAAGCCACUCCUCAGACAGUCACUCCCACUGUGGCUCCCCACUGCCCAGAGGGCCCUGUCUCAGAGAACCCACUUCCGCCUAGGCCAAGCCCAGGCCCUGGUGGCCUGAGUGUUGCUGAGCAGGGACUGCAAACUCAUCCUGCCUUCCUGAUUCCCUGCAGGAAAUGCCUCCCGGUCCUUAGGGCAGAGCAUUGGAACCCCCCAGUGUUCUAAAGCAACGCAGAAGUUGACCCAACGCGGGGUUGUGGGAGUAUAAGGCCUGUCUUCCCGUGACUGCCAGCCUUUCCUGCCAUCCCCAGCCAGUGACAUGAUUCUUCUAUAAACACCAUCUUUUCCAUAAGACAGAAGUAACUAUCGCUCUCCCCCCAUUCAGGAUGUUAAAACAUUUGAAGAAUCAUUUAUUCUGGACCAGAAAAAGCCUGUGCUUGAAGCAUUCCAUCUCUCUCUUCCAGAAGUCAGCUGCCCACACGACGCCUUAGAGCUUGGUCUACCCUGCUUGCGGAAGAAGCCCCACUAGUAGAGGAAGCCCUGCUGCCGGGGUGAGGUGCUCGGUUGUUCUGAGUGUAGUGGGUCUACUCUGGCCUUGGGGAGGCACAAAACAUUUGGAAAGAAGGAAGGCAGACGUCUCUGCAGUCAAGAGGCCCGGGCUCUGGAAAAUCGGUUGAAGCUGUCGGUGGCUGUUGUGAUCUAUAAAAUCUCUCCUUCAAAGACAGAGGGGGAGAGAGGCUAAGUCAGAUGAGCCACUGCUCUGAAGAAAGUUUCAAAGAGCACAGUGGCUGAAAACAGCGAGCGGCCAAGGCAAAGGCAAGAACGGUGGAAAAUGCCCGGCACCUGUCGAAGCUCUGUCCCACACCUGAGCCCAGUCUCUCUCUGCCUGUAUAAAGCCGCUGGGGUGCGACCGUGCAGAGCGCCAAGAGCCGGCCGAGUUCCUCCCCCAGCAAGGGUGAACAGUGCUCAAAGCAAGAGUACCGGAGCAAGGCUGAGGAUCUGCGGAAUGGGGAGUCUGCAGCCUUUUUGUCUACGCAUGAUUUCAUUCACAUGGAUUCCACGUGG